GGUGCGGUAGCCAAGUGGUUAGGCAAUGGUUUGCAAAACCAUCAUACGUGGGUUCGAAUCCCAUCCGCACCUCCA
rnacentral:tRNA from 1 species